rnacentral:ncRNA from 1 species
CGACCUCAGGUCAGGCAAGACAACCCGCUGAGUUUAAGCAUAUCACUAAGCGGAGGAAAAGAAACUAACAAGGAUUUCCCUAGUAGCGGCGAGCGAAACGGAAAGAGCCCAGCUUGGAAAUCGGGGUGUCUCUGCACCCCGAAUUGUAGUCUGGAGAAGGGUCCUCUGCAGCGGACCGGGUUUAAGUCCCUUGGAACGGGACGCCAGAGAGGGUGAGAGCCCCGUCUAGCCCGGACCCUGCUGCAUCACGAGGCUCUUUCGGCGAGUCGGGCUGUUUGGGAAUGCAGCCUUAAGUGGGUGGUAAAUUCCAUCCAAGGCUAAAUACUGGUGAGAGACCGAUAGCGCACAAGUACCGCGAGGGAAAGAUGAAAAGGACUUUGAAAAGAGAGUUAAAAAGUGCUUGAAAUUGCUGGGAGGGAAGCGAAUGGAUGCCUUGUGCGCCCCUUGGUUGUGUGUGGAACGGCGAGAGCUGGUCUGCCAAGCAAUGCAAGGGGCUGUCCAGCAUGGGAGGACGCGGCGGGAUAACGGCUUGUGAGCCUCUGGCUCCCUGCCAAUGCCGCCGCUGCCUCUGAAAAUGGCAGGGUGCUCCGGUGCCCCGCCAGAUGCUGGAACUUGGGCGUUCCAUCCGACCCGU